GCAGUCGAGCGAACGAUAAGGAGCUUGCUCCUUUGACGUUAGCGGCGGACGGGUGAGUAACACGUGGGUAACCUACCUAUAAGACUGGAAUAACUCCGGGAAACCGGGGCUAAUGCCGGAUAACAUUUAGAACCGCAUGGUUCUAAAGUGAAAGAUGGUUUUGCUAUCACUUAUAGAUGGACCCGCGCCGUAUUAGCUAGUUGGUAAGGUAAUGGCUUACCAAGGCAACGAUACGUAGCCGACCUGAGAGGGUGAUCGGCCACACUGGAACUGAGACACGGUCCAGACUCCUACGGGAGGCAGCAGUAGGGAAUCUUCCGCAAUGGGCGAAAGCCUGACGGAGCAACGCCGCGUGAGUGAUGAAGGGUUUCGGCUCGUAAAACUCUGUUAUUAGGGAAGAACAAACGUGUAAGUAACUGUGCACGUCUUGACGGUACCUAAUCAGAAAGCCACGGCUAACUACGUGCCAGCAGCCGCGGUAAUACGUAGGUGGCAAGCGUUAUCCGGAAUUAUU
rnacentral:rRNA from 1 species